CUUUUCUUAUCAGUUAAAUAUCUGAUACAUCCUCAGUGUGAGGACUUUAUAUUAAAUGUAUUUUUGGGACUGGGAGAUGGACUCUGAGCUUGUUCCAUCCACUCCAUGCAUCGGCCUGGUAUUGUAGUAAUGCUAAUUGUUGC
rnacentral:snRNA from 1 species